AGUCGACGAUGAUGCCCAGCUUGCUGGGUGGAUUAGUGGCGAACGGGUGAGUAACACGUGUGUAACCUGCCCCUGACUCUGGGAUAAGCGUUGGAAACGACGUCUAAUACUGGAUAUGAUCACUGGCCGCAUGGUCUGGUGGUGGAAAGAUUUUUUGGUUGGGGAUGGACUCGCGGCCUAUCAGCUUGUUGGUGAGGUAAUGGCUCACCAAGGCGACGACGGGUAGCCGGCCUGAGAGGGUGACCGGCCACACUGGGACUGAGACACGGCCCAGACUCCUACGGGAGGCAGCAGUGGGGAAUAUUGCACAAUGGGCGAAAGCCUGAUGCAGCAACGCCGCGUGAGGGAUGACGGCCUUCGGGUUGUAAACCUCUUUUAGUAGGGAAGAAGCGAAAGUGACGGUACCUGCAGAAAAAGCACCGGCUAACUACGUGCCAGCAGCCGCGGUAAUACGUAGGGUGCAAGCGUUGUCCGGAAUUAUUGGGCGUAAAGAGCUCGUA
rnacentral:rRNA from 1 species